GGGUUGUGAGGUUAAGCGACUAAGCGUACACGGUGGAUGCCCUGGCAGUCAGAGGCGAUGAAGGACGUGCUAAUCUGCGAAAAGCGUCGGUAAGGUGAUAUGAACCGUUAUAACCGGCGAUGUCCGAAUGGGGAAACCCAGUGYRAUUCGUYRCACUAUCGUUAACUGAAUACAUAGGUUAACGAGGCGAACCGGGGG
rnacentral:rRNA from 1 species